AUGAUUGAGAGCCCCUCCCCGGCCUGCGCGCCAGUGCAUGCCAUGCCACGCCAACGCCGAUGCCGAUGCGUGGGUGGUGCUCGCUUGCGACCGGGAGACGACGGGCUGCUGCCGGCUUUUCCCCACCGGCGCAAAAGCUCCUUCCUGAUCUGGCUACCAUGGAGGCCAGCAUGCAGCGGCAGCGGCAAGGGCAGCCAGUCAGGCCAGCCAGCGGCGGCAGCGCUGCGCCACUGCGCCGCGUGCUGCCAUCUGUGGCCAGGACUCAGGCCGGGAAGGCUUUCAUGUGAUGCCACCGGUACGGUGGUUCAUUUUAUUUUCCAUUGCCUUUCUCCCGCUUCGGCCGAUCAGCAUAUUUAUGUGGGGCUGUGUGUGCAUGCCAUGAUGAAUCGACGGACGGACGGGGGAGGGAGGCAUCGCCGUGCCACUGCCAACGCAAACGCCGCGUAG
rnacentral:rRNA from 1 species